GAUGAACGCUGGCGGCGUGCCUAAUACAUGCAAGUCGAGCGAACGGACGAGAAGCUUGCUCCUCUGAUGUUAGCGGCGGACGGGUGAGUAACACGUGGAUAACCUACCUAUAAGACUGGGAUAACUUCGGGAAACCGGAGCUAAUACCGGAUGAUAUUUUGAACCGCAUGGUUCAAUAGUGAAAGACGGUCUUGCUGUCACUUAUAGAUGGAUCCGCGCUGCAUUAGCUAGUUGGUAAGGUAACGGCUUACCAAGGCAACGAUGCGUAGCCGACCUGAGAGGGUGAUCGGCCACACUGGAACUGAGACACGGUCCAGACUCCUACGGGAGGCAGCAGUAGGGAAUCUUCCGCAAUGGGCGAAAGCCUGACGGAGCAACGCCGCGUGAGUGAUGAAGGUCUUCGGAUCGUAAAACUCUGUUAUUAGGGAAGAACAUAUGUGUAAGUAACUAUGCACGUCUUGACGGUACCUAAUCAGAAAGCCACGGCUAACUACGUG
rnacentral:rRNA from 1 species